AAGUCGUAACAAGGUUUCCGUAGGUGAACCUGCGGAAGGAUCAUUAAUGAGUACCGGUACCCUCGAGGUGCCUACUCCCACCCUUUGUUUACUUAUAACCGUUGCUUUGGCGGACCGGUGCCUAGCACCCUCCGGCUCCAGCUGGAGAGCGUCCGCCAGAGGAUCUUAAACCCGUUCUAACAGUGGCAUCUGAGUUAAACUUAAAUAAACUAAAACUUUCAACAACGGAUCUCUUGGUUCUG
rnacentral:misc_RNA from 1 species